GUCUGCGUAAGAAGUGAUGAGGUUUUAUUGUUUUUCCUUUUGAUGCCACCAAUACAUACGGGGUCAAAGGUCAGUCUAAUUCAGCAACAUCUACCUCUACAAUCUUUUUGUGAGUGCCUGCUUUAAAAUCAAACCCUGACUUGUGGCUAAACCAGAAAGUUCUCUGCAUACCCUUGUCAGCAAGGAAUGACCUAGGCAAGAAUACUUAUAGUCAAAAUCUUUUCUGUCUUGCUUCAGUAUUGGGAUGAGGAGGUAAGUCCUUUCCUAUGACAUAACCGCUUGGAAAGCGAGCUGGAGGGCAGAACUGGUGAUGGGCAGGCAUGUGUUGAAUCCUGAACUAGCUUGGGAUUUUGAAGGCCAGCAGUGGGGCUCAUUCCCAACAGGAGGGAUGGGGGAGGAGACAAGAUUCCACGCAGGCGAUUCUGCUCACCAAAGGUGUGAGGACAAGCGGCCCACCCAGUACGUGGAGAAUCGCCAAUUGAGUAUACAGGUGGCCAGAGGGCAAGCUGGACCGAAGCUGGGUAAAGGCCCACCAGGUCAGGUGGGAAGUGUGGGGUGAGCUGAGGUUUGUGGGUGAAGUGGACUGUCCUCCCUCCCACCCACUCAUCCCCCGGAGCUGAUGCAUAUGAGCUGGUAGGCAGAAGCCAAGAAGUGUUACGUUGCAGUGAUGCAAAGGCAAUGCCAACACCUGACCAGUGGCCAGAACAGAAGUGCUUGAGCCUGAAGCUUCUAGAAAAUCAAAAGAAGGCUCUGGAACUGAGACCUGGGGAGUAAAGGAAACUAUGUGAGCCUGAUAUGAGGAAACUGUCGCUCAAAAAGCAUGUGGAAAAUGAAUGAACAGAGAGGCCAGUGUAGUCCGGCAAUCAUCUGGAGAUGAGAGGAUGGCCAGUUACGGAGGAGGAGAGGACUAGAGGUGUCCAGUUGGUGCAAAGCUCCAGAGACUACAGAUGAGUGGAUUAUUUUUCCAAUUUUGCUUUCCCUUCCCUUCUGAUAGGAUUACCACUGAGCUUCCUGAAAAUGACAUUUCCUGUCAUUCCUACAUAAUCAUCUACUGGGCAAAAUUCUAUUUUUCCAAGGAUUCGCUUCUUGUUGAUAUUUAAUACCAACGAUUCAGAGAGUGUUUGUCCCAUGAAACUUACAGAGCAGACAAUCUGUCCUUGUGUUCACCAACUAGCUGAGAAAGGCUUGUGGAGUCAGGUAGGGCACUGCAUUUCUAUAAGUGUCGCUUGUGGGUGGCUACAGGAAGAGGAUGGAGGCUCCAGGCUAGCCCGCACUAUAUAGCGAGCACUUGUCUCAAAUAAGACAAAUAAGAAAGCCUGGGGUUGUAACUCAGUUGGUAAAGUCCUUGCCUAGCAUGCAUAAAGCUCCAAGGUCAAUCUCUAACACCACGUGGAGCCAGGCAUGGUGGUGCAUGUGUGGAAUCCAAGCACUUGGGAGAUGGAGACAGGAUGAUACCAGUCCAAGGUAAUCCUCAGUUCAAGAGGAGUUCAAGGUCAGCAUCCUGGGCCAUGUGAGACCCUGAAGAGAGA